AUUGAACGCUGGCGGCAUGCUUUACACAUGCAAGUCGGACGAGUGGCGAACGGGUGAGUAACGCCUCGGAACGUACCGAGUAAUGGGGGAUAACUGUCCGAAAGGAUAGCUAAUACCGCAUAUUAUCGGAGCGGCCGAUGUCGGAUUAGCUGGUUGGCGGGGUAAAGGCUCACCAAGGCGACGAUCAGUAGCGGGUCUGAGAGGAUGAACAGCCACACUGGAACUGAGACACGGUCCAGACUCCUACGUGAGGCAGCAGUGGGGAAUAUUGGACAAUGGGCGCAAGCCUGAUCCAGCCAUGCCGCGUGUCUGAAGAAGGCCUUCGGGUUGUAAAGGACUUUUGUCGGGGAAGCGGUACCUGCAGAAUAAGCACCGGCUAACUCCGUGCCAGCAGCCGCGGUAAUAC
rnacentral:rRNA from 1 species